UACGUAGGGUGCAAGCGUUGUCCGGAAUUAUUGGCGUAAAGAGCUUGUAGGCGGUUUGUCGCGUCUGCUGUGAAAUUUCGGGGCUCAACCCCGAACUUGCAGUGGGUACGGGCAGACUAGAGUGUGGUAGGGGAGACUGGAAUUCCUGGUGUAGCGGUGAAAUGCGCAGAUAUCAGGAGGAACACCGAUGGCGAAGGCAGGUCUCUGGGCCAUAACUGACGCUGAGAAGCGAAAGCAUGGGGAGCGAACAGG
rnacentral:rRNA from 1 species